GUGCCAGCAGCCGCGGUAAUACGGAAGGUCCAGGCGUUAUCCGGAUUUAUUGGGUUUAAAGGGAGCGUAGGCUGGAGAUUAAGUGUGUUGUGAAAUGUAGACGCUCAACGUCUGAAUUGCAGCGCAUACUGGUUUCCUUGAGUACGCACAACGUUGGCGGAAUUCGUCGUGUAGCGGUGAAAUGCUUAGAUAUGACGAAGAACUCCGAUUGCGAAGGCAGCUGACGGGAGCGCAACUGACGCUUAAGCUCGAAGGUGCGGGUAUCAAACAGGAUUAGAUACCCUGGUAGUCCGCACAGUAAACGAUGGAUGCCCGCUGUUGGUACCUGGUAUCAGCGGCUAAGCGAAAGCAUUAAGCAUCCCACCUGGGGAGUACGCCGGCAACGGUGAAACUCAAAGGAAUUGACGG
rnacentral:rRNA from 1 species